rnacentral:rRNA from 1 species
GAACCGUGCGAACGUUGUUCGGAAUCACUGGGCUUAAAGGGCGCGUAGGCGGGCGAGCAAGUCCGGGGUGAAAGCCCCCGGCCCAACCGGGGAAGUGCCUUGGAUACUGCUCGCCUUGAGGGAGGUAGGGGCUUGUGGAACUUCCGGUGGAGCGGUGAAAUGCGUUGAUAUCGGAAGGAACGCCGGUGGCGAAAGCGACAAGCUGGCCCUCUUCUGACGCUGAGGCGCGAAAGCCAGGGGAGCAAACGGGAUUAGAUACCCCGGUAGUCCUGGCCCUAAACGAUGGGUACUAGGUAGUGGGCCUGACAUGGGCUCACUGCCGAAGCAAAAGUGGUAAGUACCCCGCCUGGGGAGUAUGGUCGCAAGGCUGAA